UACGGAGGAUGCGAGCGUUAUCCGGAUUUAUUGGGUUUAAAGGGUGCGUAGGCGGCUUUUUAAGUCAGCGGUGAAAUUUUGCAGCUUAACUGUAACAGUGCCGUUGAUACUGGGGAGCUAGGAUUUGGUUGCUGUGGGUGGAAUGUGUGGUGUAGCGGUGAAAUGCUUAGAUAUCACGAGGAACUCCGAUUGCGCAGGCAGCUUACUAAACUACUACUGACGCUCAGGCACGAAGGCGUGGGGAUCAAACAGGAUUAGAUACCCCGGUAGU
rnacentral:rRNA from 1 species